rnacentral:rRNA from 1 species
AUACGGAGGAUCUGAGCGUUAUCCGGAUUUAUUGGGUUUAAAGGGUGCGCAGGCGGGAGAUUAAGUCGGCGGUGAAAUUUUGCAGCUCAACUGUAAAAGUGCCUUCGAUACUGGUUUCCUUGAGUGUGGAUGAAGUAGGCGGAAUUUGUGGUGUAGCGGUGAAAUGCUUAGAUAUCACGAGGAACUCCGAUUGCGCAGGCAGCUUACUAAACCACUACUGACGCUCAGGCACGAAGGCGUGGGGAUCAAACAGGAUUAGAUACCCUGGUAGUCCACGCAGUAAACGAUGAUUACUGGCUGUUUGCGAUACAAUGUAAGCGGCUGAGCGAAAGCGUUAAGUAAUCCACCUGGGGAGUACGUUCGCAAGAAUGAAACUCAAAUGAAUUGACGGGG